GACCCUGUUGAGCUUGACUCUAGUUUGACAUUGUGAAAAGACAUAUGGGGUGUAGAAUAGGUGGGAGCUCCGGCGCCAGUGAAAUACCACUACCUUUAUCGUUUCUUUACUUAUUCAAUGAAGCGGAGCUGGGAUUAACGUCCCACGUUUUGGCAUUAAGGUCCUUUAUGGGCUGAUCCGGGUUGAAGACAUUGUCAGGUGGGGAGUUUGGCUGGGACGG
rnacentral:rRNA from 1 species